rnacentral:rRNA from 1 species
CCUACGGGAGGCAGCAGUGGGGAAUAUUGGACAAUGGGGGGAACCCUGAUCCAGCGAAGCCGCGUGAGGGAAGAAGUAUUUCGGGAUGUAAAGCUCUAUCAGCAGGGAAGAAAAUGACGGUACCUGACUAAGAAGCGCCGGCUAACUACGUGCCAGCAGCCGCGGUAAUCCGGAGGGGGCAAGCGUUAUCCGGAUUUACUGGGGGUAAAGGGGGCGUAGACGGUGCAGCAAGUCUGAUGGGAAAGGUCGGGGGCCAACCCCGGGACUGCAGUGGAAACUGUUGAACUGGAGUACAGGAGAGGUAAGCGGAAUGCCUAGUGUAGCGGUGAAAUGCGUAGAUAUUAGGAAGAACACCAGUGGCGAAGGCAGCAUACUGGACUGUAACUGACGUUGAGGCUCGAAAGCGUGGGGAGCGAACAGGAUUAGAUACCCCUGUAGUC